ensembl:lncRNA
CUUCUGCAAGGGGAAGGUCAUCUCAUCCAUUUGUGUCAGAGAGAGCAGUUGCAGCAGGAGAAAGACAAACCUGAGUGUACUCGCAGUCUUUAUCUCAUUCAUAACUAUGUAUCCGCUUACACCACUUCUUAUUCCUUUCCACUCUUGUGCUCUCUGGCUAACAGUAGAGGACAUACUGAAUAACGUAUAAUUUCAUAUCCUCCCUUAUGCUAAAAAAAUACAUUAUCGCAAAAUCAGUUAAAUGUAUAGGUUGCUCCAAAAGUAAUGCUUCCUACUUAUUUCCUAGGAAACUACAGCAAAUACAAAGAGUACAACAAUGCUAUUUGACCAAGAAGAUUCUCAGGUACAAAAUGCUAUUUAUUUCUCAGUGCAGUCACUAUCAUAAGCUUUGAAUUUUGACCAGCAAUGAAGAAGAGCUUGCAAGCCGUGCUCAUAAAAAUCUGCACAGCUAAGGGUGACCCACUGCUUCAGAGCAGUGAUAGGAAAACAUUAACUGUGACCUCUUGUACGUCACAGUUGAACCUACAACUGAGAAUUUGUUUGGUCAGAAGUGGCAGCUAAUGGCAUCCAAGAAAGUUCACCUUGGACAAGAACUGCUUCAGAUGCAACCUGAAGGAGCCUCAGAAGUUCCCAAAUGAGAUUUCUCCAACCUGUAUAUCUCACUUAAAAUAACAUCAACCAAACCUUGACCAUCUGAUGUGCUAAAUCUGUAUGGAUCAUUAUUUUGAAAAAAAGACUAAAAGGAGUGGCUGUGCUAUGAGUUCAAUGGGCACCGCGGC